GUCGAACGCUGGCGGCGUGCCUAAUACAUGCAAGUCGAACGCAGUGGGGACGGGUGAGUAGCACGUGGGUAACCUCCCAUCAGAGGGGAUAACACGUGGAUACUGGUGCUAAACCGAUACUGAUGUAUGUACCCGCGGUGGAUUAGCUAGUUGGUGAGGUAACGGCUCACCAAGGCUGCGAUGCAUAGCUGGGCUGAGAGGAUGAUCGGCCACACUGGGACUGAGACACGGCCCAGACUCCUACGGGAGGCAGCAGUGGGGAAUCUUGGGCAAUGGGCGAAAGUCUGACCGAGCAAUGCCGCGUGAGUGAAGAAGGUUUUCGGAUCGUAAAGCUCUGUUGUUAGGGAGGCGGUAUCUAACCAGGAAGCAACGGCUAACUACGUGCCAGCAGCCGCGGUAAUAC
rnacentral:rRNA from 1 species